rnacentral:misc_RNA from 1 species
UUGUGGAGAAGGACGCCGAAGGUGGGGCUGAUGACUGGGGUGAAGUCGUAACAAGGUAGCCGUACCGGAAGGUGCGGCUGGAUCACCUCCUAACAGGGAGACAAUAAAUUGAUUGUGAUGUCUAAGUUUUUUAUUCUUAGGCCGCAAUCCUGUCACCUUAAGGUCGAUCGGUACCUCAGAUUUAGAAUUAAUUUUAUAAUUUUUUCUUUUAUUUCAGUUCCUAAACUUGUCUAGGUCACACCCAACAAAGGUUUCUCCUGGGCCAUUAGCUCAGGUGGUUAGAGCGCACCCCUGAUAAGGGUGAGGUCCCUGGUUCAAGUCCAGGAUGGCCCAUUCGUUGUUGGGGGUAUAGCUCAGUUGGUAGAGCGCCUGCUUUGCAAGCAGGAUGUCAGCGGUUCGAGUCCGCUUACCUCCACUGAAAACUAUCCUGAUAACUAAAUUUCGGAGAAAAAUUUGUAGAUGUGGCUUAGAUUUGUCUAUUGAGAAGAACCUAGCUUCUUAUCAUCUUUUUAUAGUUGAUAACAUGCUGGGCUCCCAUGGAAUUUUUCCAUGAGAAUUCAGUAGAACCUUGAAAACUGCAUAGAUUAGAAAGAAUAAAACAUCUCAUGGAUGCAUAAUUCUGUUUUUAUAAUUUAGCCUUAAAACUAAAUUAUUUAAUAGGAAUUCAUGUUUAAUUCUUGAGUAAAAGCCGAGCACAAUUGAUUUUUUGAUUGUAUUUAAGGUCAAGCUACAA